AUUUAAAUAGCUUAUGUUAGAGCAUAGCAUUGAAGCUGCUAAGGAAAUAUUUAUAUUUUUAAAUA
rnacentral:tRNA from 1 species